CAGCAGUCGCCGCGGGAAUACAGAGGGUGCGAGCGUUAAUCGGAUUUACUGGGCGUAAAGCGUGCGUAGGCGGCUUCUUAAGUCGGAUGUGAAAUCCCUGAGCUUAACUUAGGAAUUGCAUUCGAUACUGGGAAGCUAGAGUAUGGGAGAGGAUGGUAGAAUUCCAGGUGUAGCGGUGAAAUGCGUAGAGAUCUGGAGGAAUACCGAUGGCGAAGGCAGCCAUCUGGCCUAAUACUGACGCUGAGGUACGAAAGCAUGGGGAGCAAACAGGAUUAGAUACCCGUGUAGUCCCUGUCUCUUAUAA
rnacentral:rRNA from 1 species